GACGAACGCUGGCGGCGUGCCUAAUACAUGCAAGUUGAGCGCUGAAGGUUGGUACUUGUACCAACUGGAUGAGCAGCGAACGGGUGAGUAACGCGUGGGGAAUCUGCCUUUGAGCGGGGGACAACAUUUGGAAACGAAUGCUAAUACCGCAUAAAAACUUUAAACACAAGUUUUAAGUUUGAAAGAUGCAAUUGCAUCACUCAAAGAUGAUCCCGCGUUGUAUUAGCUAGUUGGUGAGGUAAAGGCUCACCAAGGCGAUGAUACAUAGCCGACCUGAGAGGGUGAUCGGCCACAUUGGGACUGAGACACGGCCCAAACUCCUACGGGAGGCAGCAGUAGGGAAUCUUCGGCAAUGGACGAAAGUCUGACCGAGCAACGCCGCGUGAGUGAAGAAAGGUUUUCGGAUCGUAAAAACUCUGUUGGUAGAGAAAGAAACCGUG
rnacentral:rRNA from 1 species